AGCGAACGCUGGCGGCAGGCUUAACACAUGCAAGUCGAACGCCCCGCAAGGGGAGUGGCAGACGGGUGAGUAACACGUGGGAACGUACCCUUUGGUUCGGAAUAACUUGGGGAAACUCAAGCUAAUACCGGAUAAGCCCUUAUGGGGAAAGGUUUACUGCAGAAGGAUCGGCCCGCGUCUGAUUAGCUAGUUGGUGAGGUAAUGGCUCACCAAGGCGACGAUCAGUAGCUGGUCUGAGAGGAUGAUCAGCCACACUGGACUGAGACACGGCCCAGACUCCUACGGGAGGCAGCAGUGGGGAAUAUUGGACAAUGGGGGCAACCCUGAUCCAGCCAUGCCGCGUGAGUGAUGAAGGCCUUAGGGUUGUAAAGCUCUUUUACCCGGGACGAUAAUGACUGUACUGGGAGAAUAAGCCCCGGCUAACUUCGUGCCAGCAGCCGCGGUAA
rnacentral:rRNA from 1 species